CCUCAAAGAGGGGGACAACAGUUGGAAACGACUGCUAAUACCGCAUACGAUCCAACCUCGGCAUCGAGGAUGGAUGAAAGGUGGCCUCUAUUUAUAAGCUAUCACUGAAGGAGGGGAUUGCGUCUGAUUAGCUAGUUGGAGGGGUAACGGCCCACCAAGGCAAUGAUCAGUAGCCGGUCUGAGAGGAUGAACGGCCACAUUGGGACUGAGACACGGCCCAG
rnacentral:rRNA from 1 species